UCGAGACAACAUCCUGUUCUUUGCAGAAAUGGCCAUUCUGGGGAUCCAAAUCCCAUACAGAAGACCAGGAUGGGUAGACGACGACACGUACGAAGCACUUCUCCACAGGCACAGCCGCUGCGAUGCCAGCGAAUGCCUUUACCAUGGAGGCAGAGAGCAGGCAGAGAGGCGUGGGCCCUGGCAGCUGCUCCUGUGCAGCUCCUGCGCUGCUGAGGGCACCC